rnacentral:rRNA from 1 species
UACGUAGGGGGCAAGCGUUGUCCGGAAUCAUUGGGCGUAAAGAGCGCGUAGGCGGCCCUGUAAGUCCGCUGUGAAAGUCAAGGGCUCAACCCUUGAAUGCCGGUGGAUACUGCAGGGCUAGAGUCCGGAAGAGGCGAGUGGAAUUCCUGGUGUAGCGGUGAAAUGCGCAGAUAUCAGGAGGAACACCGAUGGCGAAGGCAGCUCGCUGGGACGGUACUGACGCUGAGGCGCGAAAGCAUGGGGAGC